rnacentral:rRNA from 1 species
CGAACGGGUGAGUAACGCGUGAGGAACCUGCCUCAAAGAGGGGGACAACAGUUGGAAACGACUGCUAAUACCGCAUAAGCCCACGGCUCGGCAUCGAGCAGAGGGAAAAGGAGCAAUCCGCUUUGAGAUGGCCUCGCGUCCGGUUAGCUGGUUGGUGAGGUAACGGCCCACCAAGGCGACGAUCGGUAGCCGGACUGAGAGGUUGAACGGCCACAUUGGGACUGAGACACGGCCCAG